rnacentral:rRNA from 1 species
CCUACGGGGAGCAGCAGUGAGGAAUAUUGGUCAAUGGUCGGGAGACUGAACCAGCCAAGCCGCGUGAGGGAUGAAGGUACAGAGUAUCGUAAACCUCUUUUGUCAGGGAACAAAGGCGGGGACGUGUCCCCGGAUGAGUGUACCUGAAGAAAAAGCAUCGGCUAACUCCGUGCCAGCAGCCGCGGUAAUACGGAGGAUGCGAGCGUUAUCCGGAUUUAUUGGGGUUAAAGGGUGCGCAGGCGGUCUGUUAAGUCAGCGGUGAAAGCCCGGGGCUCAACCCCGGCCCGCCGUUGAAACUGGCAGUCUCGAGUUGGAGAGAAGUAUGCGGAAUGCGCGGUGUAGCGGUGAAAUGCAUAGAUAUCGCGCAGAACUCCGAUUGCGAAGGCAGCAUGCCGGCUCCACACUGACGCUGAGGCACGAAAGCGUGGGUAUCGAACAGGAUUAGAUACCCUAGUAGUC